AUUGAACGCUGGCGGCAUGCCUUACACAUGCAAGUCGAACGGCAGCACGGGAGCAAUCCUGGUGGCGAGUGGCGAACGGGUGAGUAAAGUAUCGGAACGUGCCCAGUCGUGGGGGAUAACGUAGCGAAAGUUACGCUAAUACCGCAUACGAUCUAUGGAUGAAAGCGGGGGAUCGCAAGACCUCGCGCGAUUGGAGCGGCCGAUAUCAGAUUAGGUAGUUGGUGGGGUAAAGGCUCACCAAGCCGACGAUCUGUAGCUGGUCUGAGAGGACGACCAGCCAAACUGGGACUGAGACACGGCCCAGGCUCAGACGGGAGGCAGCAGUGGGUAAUUUGGUACAAUGGGCGAAAGCCUGAUCCAGCCAUGCCGCGUGCAGGAUGAAGGCCUUCGGGUUGUAAACUGCUUUUGUACGGAACGAAAAGGUUUGGCCUAAUAAGCUGAGCUCAUGACGGUACCGUAAGAAUAAGCACCGGCUAACUACGUGCCAGCCGCCGCCGUAA
rnacentral:rRNA from 1 species